UACGGAGGGGGCUAGCGUUGCUCGGAAUCACUGGGCGUAAAGCGCACGUAGGCGGCUUUCUAAGUCAGGGGUGAAAUCCUGGAGCUCAACUCCAGAACUGCCUUUGAUACUGGAGAGCUUGAGUCCGGGAGAGGUGAGUGGAACUCCGAGUGUAGAGGUGAAAUUCGUAGAUAUUCGGAGGAACACCAGUGGCGAAGGCGGCUCACUGGUCCAUUACUGACGCUGAGGUGCGAAAGCGUGGGGAGCAAACAGG
rnacentral:rRNA from 1 species